rnacentral:rRNA from 1 species
GACAGAGGUGCCGAGCGUUAGGCGGAAUCACUGGGCUUAAAGCGUGUGUAGGCGGGUCGUUAAGUGCCUUGUGAAAUCCCACAGCUCACCUGUGGAACUGCUUGGCAUACUGGCGAUCUUGAGCCACUUAGGGGCAACCGGAACAAACGGUGGAGCGGUGAAAUGCGUAGAGAUCGGAAGGAACGCCGGUGGCGAAAGCGGCGUGCUGGACCUCUGCUGACGCUGAGGCGCGAAAGCCAGGGGAGCAAACGGG